rnacentral:rRNA from 1 species
CCUACGGGAGGCAGCAGUGGGGAAUAUUGGACAAUGGGGGGAACCCUGAUCCAGCGACGCCGCGUGAGUGAAGAAGGAUUUCGGGAUGUAAAGCUCUAUCAGCAGGGAAGAAAAUAACGGUACCAGACUAAGAAGCCCCGGCUAACUACGUGCAAGCAGCCGCGGUAAUACGGAGGGGGCAAGCGUUAGCCGGAUUUACUGGGUGUAAAGGGAGCGUAGACGGGAGCGCAAGUAUGGAGUGAAAUGCCCGGGCUCAACCCCGGAACUGCACUGGAAACUGGGAGGCUGGAGUGCAGGAGAGGUAAGUGGAAUUCCUGGUGUAGCGGUGAAAUGCGUAGAUAUCAGGAGGAAUACCGGAGGCGAAGGCGGCUUACUGGACUUUAACUGACGUUGAGGUUCGAAAGCGUGGGGAGCAAACAGGAUUAGAUACCCUAGUAGUC